rnacentral:rRNA from 1 species
AUACGUAGGGGGCGAGCGUUGUCCGGAAUGAUUGGGCGUAAAGGGCGCGUAGGCGGCUUUGCAAGUCAGUAGUGGAAGUCCAUUUUUCAAGGAUGGAAGUGCUACAGAAACUGCGGAGCUUGAGUGCAGGAGAGGUUAUCGGAAUUCCCGGUGUAGCGGUGAAAUGCGUAGAGAUCGGGAGGAACACCAGUGGCGAAGGCGGGUAACUGGACUGCAACUGACGCUGAGGUGCGAAAGUGUGGGGAGCAAACAGGAUUAGAUACCCUGGUAGUCCACACUGUAAACGAUGAAUGCUAGGUGUAGGAGGUAUCGACCCCUUCUGUGCCGCAGUAAACACAGUAAGCAUUCCGCCUGGGGAGUACGGUCGCAAGAUUAAAACUCAAAGGAAUUGACGGGG